UUGAAUUUUGAAUUUUAAUUUUGUUAGUAAUUUUAGUUUAAUUUUUUAUUUUUAUUUUAGUAAUUUUAUUUUAUUCUUUAUUUUAUUUUUAAUUUACUACUCUUAUUCAGUUCAAUAUGGUGCAGUGCUACCAAAGUAUUGUUUGUUUGUUUAUGCGAGGUUUAAAUUUGAUACGGAUACCGAUAGAAUCAGAAAUCAAAAGAACAACACGAGAAAUUUGUAAAGAAAA
rnacentral:lncRNA from 1 species